rnacentral:rRNA from 1 species
UGAAGAGCCGCGGUAUCUUGACCGUGCAAAGGUAGCAUAAUCAUUAGCUUUUUAAUUGGAAGCUUGUAUGAAUGGUUAAACAAAAGAAAUUCUGUCUUUUUUUUAAAGUUUGAAUUUAACUUUUAAGUGAAAAGGCUUAAAUUUUUUAGGGGGACGAUAAGACCCUAUAAAGCUUUAUAAAUUAAUUAAAUUUCUCUGAAUCUAGGUAUAAAGGAGAGGUAUUAUUUGUUUAUUAUGUUGGGGCGACACAGAUAUAAGUAGAAGAUAACUGUCAGGAAAAAAAACAUUUAUAUUUGAAAAUGAAUGAUCCUCUGUAGAGAUUAAAAGACGAAGUUACUUUAGGGAUAACAGCGUUAUUCUUUUUGAGAGUUCUUAUCGAAAAAAGAGUUUGUGACCUCGAUGUUGAAUCAUAAUAUCUUAACAGUGCAGCAGCUGUAAUGAGAAGGUCUGUUCGACCUUUAAAUUUUUA